AGAGUUUGAUCCUGGCUCAGAACGAACGCUGGCGGCAUGCCUAACACAUGCAAGUCGAACGCUGUGAUGGUUUCGGCCAUGACGGAGUGGCGCACGGGUGAGUAGCGCGUGGGAACCUGUCUUCUUGUGGGGGAUAACCGAGGGAAACUUCGGCUAAUACCGCAUACGCCCGGGGUGACCCGGGGAAAGAUUGAUCGCAG
rnacentral:rRNA from 1 species